rnacentral:rRNA from 1 species
GAUGAACGCUGGCGGCGUGCUUAACACAUGCAAGUCGAGCGAUGAAGUUUUCUUCGGGAAACGGAUUAGCGGCGGACGGGUGAGUAACACGUGGGUAACCUGCCUCAUAGAGUGGAAUAGCCUUUCGAAAGGAAGAUUAAUACCGCAUAAUGUUGAAAGAUGGCAUCAUCAUUCAACCAAAGGAGCAAUCUGCUAUGAGAUGGACCCGCGGCGCAUUAGCUAGUUGGUGGGGUAACGGCCUACCAAGGCGACGAUGCGUAGCCGACCUGAGAGGGUGAUCGGCCACAUUGGGACUGAGACACGGCCCAGACUCCUACGGGAGGCAGCAGUGGGGAAUAUUGCACAAUGGGGGAAACCCUGAUGCAGCAACGCCGCGUGAGUGAUGAAGGUUUUCGGAUCGUAAAGCUCUGUCUUUGGGGAAGAUAAUGACGGUACCCAAGGAGGAAGCCACGGCUAACUACGUGCCAGCCGCCGCCGUAAGAC